rnacentral:rRNA from 1 species
GGCGGUGCUAUACAUGCAGUCGAGCGGACAGAAGGGAGCUUGCUCCCGGAUGUUAGCGGCGGACGGGUGAGUAACACGUGGGUAACCUGCCUGUAAGACUGGGAUAACUCCGGGAAACCGGAGCUAAUACCGGAUAGUUCCUUGAACCGCAUGGUUCAAGGAUGAAAGACGGUUUCGGCUGUCACUUACAGAUGGACCCGCGGCGCAUUAGCUAGUUGGUGAGGUAACGGCUCACCAAGGCGACGAUGCGUAGCCGACCUGAGAGGGUGAUCGGCCACACUGGGACUGAGACACGGCCCAGACUCCUACGGGAGGCAGCAGUAGGGAAUCUUCCGCAAUGGACGAAAGUCUGACGGAGCAACGCCGCGUGAGUGAUGAAGGUUUUCGGAUCGUAAAGCUCUGUUGUUAGGGAAGAACAAGUGCAAGAGUAACUGCUUGCACCUUGACGGUACCUAACCAGAAAGCCACGGCUAACUACGUGCCAGCAGCCGCGGUAAUACGUAGGUGGCAAGCGUUGUCCGGGAAUUAUUGGGCGUAAAGGGCUCGCAGGCGGUUUCUUAAGUCUGAUGUGAAAGCCCCCGGCUCAACCGGGGAGGGUCAUUGGAAACUGGGAAACUUGAGUGCAGAAGAGGAGAGUGGAAUUCCACGUGUAGCGGUGAAAUGCGUAGAGAUGUGGAGGAACACCAGUGGCGAAGGCGACUCUCUGGUCUGUAACUGACGCUGAGGAGCGAAAGCGUGGGGAGCGAACAGGAUUAGAUACCCUGGUAGUCCACGCCGUAAACGAUGAGUGCUAAGUGUUAGGGGGUUUCCGCCCCUUAGUGCUGCAGCUAACGCAUUAAGCACUCCGCCUGGGGAGUACGGUCGCAAGACUGAAACUCAAAGGAAUUGACGGGGGCCCGCACAAGCGGUGGAGCAUGUGGUUUAAUUUCGAAGCAACGCGAAGAACCUUACCAGGUCUUGACAUCCUCUGACAACCCUAGAGAUAGGGCUUUCCCUUCGGGGACAGAGUGACAGGUGGUGCAUGGAUGUCGUCAGCUCGUGUCGUGAAGAUGUUGGGUUAAGUCCCGCAACGAGCGCAACCCUUGAUCUUAGUUGCCAGCAUUCAGUUGGGCACUCUAAGGUGACUGCCGGUGACAAACCGGAGGAAGGUGGGGAUGACGUCAAAUCAUCAUGCCCCUUAUGACCUGGGCUACACACGUGCUACAAUGGACAGAACAAAGGGCUGCGAGACCGCAAGGUUUAGCCAAUCCCACAAAUCUGUUCUCAGUUCGGAUCGCAGUCUGCAACUCGACUGCGUGAAGCUGGAAUCGCUAGUAAUCGCGGAUCAGCAUGCCGCGGUGAAUACGUUCCCGGGCCUUGUACACACCGCCCGUCACACCACGAGAGUUUGCAACACCCGAAGUCGGUGAGGUAACCUUUAUGGAGCCAGCCGCCGAAGGUGUCAG